GACGAACGCUGGCGGCGUGCUUAACACAUGCAAGUCGAACGGAAAGGCCCUGCUUUUGUGGGGUGCUCGAGUGGGGAACGGGUGAGUAACAAGGGAGUAACCUGCCCUUGACUUUGGGAUAACUUCAGGAAACUGGGGCUAAUACCGGAUAGGAGCGCCUGUUGGAGGGGGGGGGUUGGAAAGUUUCGGCGGGUGGGGAUGGACGCGCGGCUUGUCAGCUUGUUGGUGGGGGAGUGGCUUACCAAGGCUUUGACGGGUAGGCGGCCUGGGAGGGUGACCGGCCCCAUGGGACCUGGGGAACCGCCCAGACGCCUACGGGGGGCAGCGGCGGGAAAUUUUGCACACUGGGCGGAGGCUGAGGCAGCAACCCCGCGUGCGGGAUGACGUCCUUCGGGUUGUAAACCGCUUUCGCCUGUGACGAAGCGUGAGUGACGGUAAUGGGUAAAGAAGCACCGGCUAACUACGUG
rnacentral:rRNA from 1 species